UACGUAGGGGCUAGCGUUGUCCGGAAUCAUUGGGCGUAAAGAGCGUGUAGGCGGCCCGGUAAGUCCGCUGUGAAAGUCGGGGGCUCAACCCUCGGAUGCCGGUGGAUACUGUCGGGCUCGAGUACGGAAGAGGCGAGUGGAAUUCCUGGUGUAGCGGUGAAAUGCGCAGAUAUCAGGAGGAACACCGGUGGCGAAGGCGACAUCCUGGACCGGUAUUGACGCGUGAGGCGCGAAAGCCAGGGAGCAAACGGG
rnacentral:rRNA from 1 species